AUUGAACGCUGGCGGCAGGCCUAACACAUGCAAGUCGAGCGGAGGAAGGGAGCUUGCUCCUGGAUUCAGCGUCGGACGGGUGAGUAAUGCCUAGGAAUCUGCCUGGUAGUGGGGGAUAACGUCCGGAAACGGGCGCUAAUACCGCAUACGUCCUGAGGGAGAAAGUGGGGGAUCUUCGGACCUCACGCUAUCAGAUGAGCCUAGGUCGGAUUAGCUAGUUGGUGGGGUAAAGGCAUACCAAGGCGACGAUCCGUAACUGGUCUGAGAGGAUGAUCAGUCACACUGGAACUGAGACACGGUCCAGACUCCUACGGGAGGCAGCAGUGGGGAAUAUUGGACAAUGGGCGAAAGCCUGAUCCAGCCAUGCCGCGUGUGUGAAGAAGGUCUUCGGAUUGUAAAGCACUUUAAGUUGGGAGGAAGGGCAGUAAGUUAAUACCUUGCUGUUUUGACGUUACCAACAGAAUAAGCACCGGCUAACUUCGUG
rnacentral:rRNA from 1 species